AUUACUUAUAGAUGACCUCAAGUUUUAUAAUUACAUGCGUAUGAAAAAAAUACCUAGCAACUGGUAAUUCAUAUGUCACCUUGUCAUAUUCUCAUAAACUUGGGGUAUCAACUAUAAAACUAAUAAUAGGAGAAAAUACAAAAGCUAUAUGGGAUAUUAUUCAACCCAUCCAUAUGAAGGUCCCAACAUUGGAGAUGUUUGAGGAGUUGCUAAGGGCUUUGAUGAAAGGUGGAACUUCCCAAACUGUAUAGGUGCCAUUGAUGGGAAACAUUGUAAAACAAAAAAGUCUCCAUAUUCUUGAACCCAAUUUUAUAAUUACAAGCAUGGAUUUUCAAUAAUCCUUCAAGCAUUGGUGGAUCAUAAUGGCAAAUUUAUGGUUAUAGAUGUUGGCACUUAUGGAAGCCAAAAUGAAAGAAAAUUUAAAUAUAAUAAGUUUUGAUCUUGUUGGUUCAAAUUAUCCUUUAUGGAACCAACAGAGUAUUAAAAAUAGUUCUGAUAAAAAUAAAAAUAUAAGAAACUUAUUUAGCAAUUAUUUUAAUAAUAGACAUUUGCCCUGGCAAACUAAUAUAUUAAAUUAAUAUUUAUUUUUUCAAUAUUUUGAUUUUAUAUGUAUUAAAUUUCUUUAUAUU